AACUCGGCCAUUUAGAGGAAGUACAAGUCGUAACAAGGUUUCCGUAGGUGAACCUGCGGAAGGAUCAUAGUAAUCGUCUUUGACGUUCUAUCUCCAUCGUCCUCGGGACGUUAAGGUGCUCUGGUCGAGGAUAAACGACCCCUCUGACCGAGGUUAAAUGGUCGCUUGCCUGUGUUACCUCUUUCCGGAGGCACACGUUAAAGAUCGUUCCGCAUUGUGAGUCUAACACCAGUUGUAACUUUUUACAACCGGCAGCGCUGGAUCCCUUGGCACGUCAUUCGAUGAAGACCGUUGCAAAUUGCGAUAAAGUGAUGUGAUGCGCAAGUCCACCACUUAUACGUGAAUCAUCGAGUUGUUGAACGCAUUGCACCGCGCCCUAAUCCGGCUGCGGUAUGCCCCUUUGAGCGUCAUUGUAUUCCUUCGGAAGUCUUUCCUUGUGAAAGACCCGAGUUCGGAGUCCUCGGUCCUUUGGAUCGUGUUCUCUUAGAUGCGUCGCGCCGAUCGCCUGAUGGGUACUCUAAUGCCUGAGCGUGGAGUCCCUCUGAGCUCGAGACGCGCUUGACCGGCCGUUGGGCUCGCGUCACCAAGUCCGCGUCCUUUAGGAUGUCGGUACUACAACGCAUGACCUCAUUGGGGUAGGACAACCCGCUAGACUUAAGCAUAUUAAUCAGCGGAGGAAAAGAAACUAACAAGGAUUCCCCUAGUAAC
rnacentral:rRNA from 1 species